AGGACUCAGGGAUUGAACUCUGUUCCUUACUCCUCCAAAUGUUUUUGCAGGUCUGAACCUAAUGGACAGGAAGCAGUGUCAGAACUUGCUGGAGAAGACUGUGACUGCUCUGGGGGUGUUGGAUCCUUGACCUUGGCCCACACAUGUGCUGUUCUCCUUCUGUGGAUGCCAGUCAGGACAACGAGAUCUCUGUCCCUCAGAAUUACCUUGGUUGUUGAUUUAGGGAUACUCCAACAUCUCAGCUUAGUACUCUGCCUUUAGAUCUCAUUGAAUCUUAGCAGUCUAGAUGAUUUAUCCCUGUUCUUUAUGCCCAGUUUACUUUACCAAAACUUUAUGUGGCUGUAACAGUAAGUAUGAAAUGUUUUAGGACAUGGCUAUGCCCAUUGGCAUACUCAGAGCCUUUGCCCAAGGAUGCUCUUACUUACCUGUGAGGAGAGCAAGCCAGGAGCUUUUAUCCUUACUCAGUUAUGAGCACAAACUAAAUUUUAGAGCAUGGCCUGCCACAGUGUGGUUCUUGAGCCUGCUAGCUCCUGGCUCCACUGCUCAAGCUUCAUUUUUAAUUCUUUGUUGGGACUUCUUCCAUACAUUACUUAGCAGUGUCAAGAGGAACCUUCUGUAGAAACUGGAGUCCAGAAAGCCCAUGGCAGGAUUUCCAGCAGGAUCUUGACCCAUAGUACUUCUCCUGGCUUCCAUCACUGCCUUCAGCAAUAAUAUACUCCUAUCUGUCCUUAGAUCUUGUCUGUUCCCAUGCCCUGCCCUCAGUGAAGAAGUUGGGAGCAAGUUUAAAAUGAAUGAAAUAUAGUCUCUGGAUUCUAUCAGAAACGAUGCAUCUGAUCCCUGAGGCUCUGAGAAGCCAACAACCUGUUCAAGGAACACUAACAAAUUCACGUAGUCCUAUCUCCCAGAAGACAGGUCAAGGUGUUGCUGUCAGAAGGGUGGUUGACUUGAGCCACUCAGAAUUUCACUCUGAAACGGAAAGCCAAGUCUCAGAGGACUUUUCCAACGGUCUACCUGAGGAUCGUCUUAGAACUCAAGAUCACCCAGGACAACCUUUUUUAGUUGAAGAAUGGUAAAAUUAAAAACCAUCCAAGAAUCAACAAU